CCCACGAAGUACAAGGCAUCAAGGCCGAACCAGGUAUCCCACCAGCCACUGCCGACGCACCACUUCCGGGAAGUAAAUAGAGCAUCACAUAUUCCCCGUUGUUUUUUAAACGCAGUAUGUUUUUAAUGAUUUAGUUAUGUAAGAAAAAGUGGCAAGAAAAGAACUCGAGAAGUCGAGAGUCGAGAUUUAUUGUGGCCACUCACACCGAGCAAGGAGAUGCUUUGUUAAUUGUUAUUGCCAGACUCGUAGUUUCAGCAAAUAUUCGUCUGCUAGACAGAGAAAGCGUUAAGCGUGUCACGAAAUUCUUUACUGUGUCGUGUUUUCUAUUCAUGAAAAAAGAGACUUAUACAUUUCGAAGGAUUUUUUAUUUGUUUUAAAAAGGCAGGGAAAGAAUUGUGCAAUGAAGGGUGUAUUGUUGCUUUACAUUUUCACCACCAGUAGCCUAUGUUUCACAGAGAGAAAUUGUCAUUGGAAUUCAGAUUUUAGCAGAGCCAAACUACUGAACUAGAGACCAUGCAGUUAAAAGUUGAUCAUGCAAAAUUUUCACUUUUAAAGAAAUGCAACCGCAAUUGCUACCUGUAAGUCGAAAAAAGCAUCACACUACCUCCUACUACCACUGCUCUUAAUUACAACACGGAGUUUUCAUCUUGAGAUUGAUUGGCGGUGUCUUCAGGAAGACGAGAAGAAGGAGAUGAUGAUUUUGCCAAGGAGAAUAUUGAAUCUAGAAUCUAGAUGGCUAUAUCCUAUAUCCUUAAGAUGAAUCUCCAAUUCAACACACUACGGCCGAAUGGUUCUGGGACCAAGAAUUAUUCGCAAUUUUAGUGUCGCCGAUUCGCCAAUUAUUUUUUAUGCCGUUUGCAUCGUAUCGGACUCGAACAUUACCGCAAUGAACCGAAACUAGAACUCUAUUAUGUUGCCAGAAGUCACAAAAGACCAGGAGAUCGUGUCUUUGUGAGAAUGGCCCUAGUUCACCCCCAGUCAAUCAGGUUGAACAAAUUGCGUCGGAGCCGGGAACUUAUUGUGGUUAUUCCAUGGAAAUUGGUAGAUUUGGAAGUCGACGAGUAGUUUGGUUCGUGGAUCGAAUCAUUCGUUCGACUGAAAUAUAUCUCUGUUCUCUCGGAUAACCCGGCUCAACAACUCACAUAUCUCGUCCAGAAUCAACUCGCUUAUUCACUCAUUUGGGGAUCCAACGAAGAAAACCUUUAUUCCGCAGCGAAAUUUUCCAAUGUCGUACCAUACGAGGUCGUCGGAAUUCAGCAUAGGAAAAAUCCACACUGCUUCGGUCAAUUUGCUGGACAUUAUUCCGGUAAUUGGUAAAAGAUUCGUUAGGGUGCGCUUAAAGUCGCAUUUCCGACUUAUGCGUCAGACAGUUGGCGUAUUGGCCCAGCCAAAACCAUCUUAGCCAACUUCAUGGGCACUAGUAACAAUUGUUCCAUGAUCGCCGGAAAUCUGAUUGACGGCGAUGGGUUCUUCGGUUCUUCCACGUCUAGUUUUAGUGAUGGUUUUGCCAUCUCUCAUAUCGGUCCAUUAAAGCACACAGCAGUAACAACGCUCGAGAAACAACGGCGUAAAAGAUUGUCCCACGUUUACCUUGGACUGUGUAUCUCAGGAGUGUUUUGUUUUCUUUUAAAUGUUACAGGACAUUAGUGUACGUAAGAACAGACAGUCAUGGGAAAUGGUGGGAGACAACAUGGAGGGGGACAUGAGAAGAGAAUAGGAGUCAAACCCAGAAAAAACUAGGUGCAAUAGAAGAAACAAGAACGAAUAAUAAGGCAAUCUUCC